CGGAACAGAAGAAGCACAUAAUCGAUAAAUGUAUGGAUUAGCAUUUGCUUACAAUGAAACUGCAAACAAGAAGACGAUUUGAUACCUGCUGCAUUUUGGUGCAUCAGAAUUAAGCAAUGGUGUUAGCUAAAGCUAUAGACAAACGUCCUGAUCUCAAGACUAAGGCUGCUGAGACAAAUAAAGCACCAAAGAUAGAUCCAAGAUCAAAGGCCAUUGUUCAAAGCAUGCUUGAUAACUCACCAGAGUUACAAAUUGGACUAAGUUUAGCGCAACAGCACUACAACUUAUUGACAGCGGCCAUCUACAACAACGAAAAUCACUAAUGGCUCCUUGUCACAGAAUGAGGCUGCUGGUGGUGGCAGCCCAUAUUCAGAAACAUAAACAUUGGUAUUUGUCUUAUUGCAUUAUGUAAAGAAGUACUUAUUUUUAUGUUUCCACUUUUCUACUUUUUUUUAAAAAUCAUCUCCUACAGGUUAUUCAGCAUAGUACCUACCUUAGUCUUGGUUUACAUUUUGCUGCAUCAGAAUUAAGCAACGAUGUUAGGCAAACAGCAGUUUUGGCAUUUAGUUAGUUUCUCUUACAUUCAGGCUUGGCACGCACUUAUGGUUUAUGUUCUGGACUAUAAAAAUUUGACACCAAACCUUUACUUCUCCAAACAAGUUUUCAUAUUAUGUCUUUGCUCUUAACUUUUUCUAGCCUUCUACAAGAAUCAAUGAAUAUGCACAGAUUCAAUAAUUCAUCUAAUUGAGUUGCUAACCUUAAAAUACACAUGUUAUUGCUGAAGCCUUUAACAUCAGAUGUAAUUGAUUUUAUUCAUGAAGAAGCUUUUAUAACAAUGACCUGAGUGAUUCCACUGUUAAUGCAUUCAGGUAAUUGGAAAAAAUUAUUCUGGUUAAGCAUGAGGAUGCUAUGAACGAGAUCCAUAAAUUGCUUUGAAAGACAAAACAUAACAAAGUAACUGCAG